CACUAAAAUUUUUAUUCUGUUGACUUCAGUGAGACUUACUACCCUUACGAAACUUAGGUUUAUGAUUAUGAGAAGGCCCCUUAUUCUGUGAUGGCUGAAAAGCUAAUUGCACAGUUUCAACAGUUUCACGGCGCAUCCUAUAUUCUUCUUGGGCACACACUGCUAUGAGGUCAUUCAAAUUCCACUUAUCCCGCUGAGCAUUGUAAGCAACCUUAAGCUGAUUAAACUUGCUAGGAAGGCUAUUCAAAACAUGAUAGACU
rnacentral:lncRNA from 1 species